rnacentral:rRNA from 1 species
AGUGAACGCUGGCGGUAGGCCUAACACAUGCAAGUCGAACGGCAGCACAGUAAGAGCUUGCUCUUACGGGUGGCGAGUGGCGGACGGGUGAGGAAUACAUCGGAAUCUACUUUUUCGUGGGGGAUAACGUAGGGAAACUUACGCUAAUACCGCAUACGACCUACGGGUGAAAGCAGGGGAUCUUCGGGCCUUGCGCGAUUGAAUGAGCCGAUGUCGGAUUAGCUAGUUGGCGGGGUAAAGGCCCACCAAGGCGACGAUCCGUAGCUGGUCUGAGAGGAUGAUCGGCCACACUGGAACUGAGACACGGUCCAGACUCCUACGGGAGGCAGCAGUGGGGAAUAUUGGACAAUGGGCGCAAGCCUGAUCCAGCCAUACCGCGUGGGUGAAGAAGGCCUUCGGGUUGUAAAGCCCUUUUGUUGGGAAAGAAAAGCAGCAGGUUAAUACCCCGCUGUUCUGACGGUACCCAAAGAAUAAGCACCGGCUAACCUCGUG